rnacentral:rRNA from 1 species
CCCUUAGAUGUUCUGGGCCGCGCGCGCGCUACACUGACGAAUGCAACGAGCUUAUAACCUUGGCCGAAAGGUCUGGGUAAUCUCCAAAUUUCGUCGUGAUGGGGAUAGAUUAUUGCAAUUAUUAAUCUUCAACGAGGAAUGCCUAGUAAGCGCAAGUCAUCAGCUUGCGUUGAUUACGUCCCUGCCCUUUGUACACACCGCCCGUCGCUCCUACCGAUUGAAUGGUCCGGUGAAGCGUUCGGACCGUGGCCUUUGGACGGUUCGCCGUCUGUUGGCUGCGGGAAGUUCGUUAAACCUUAUCAUUUAGAGGAAGGAGAAGUCGUANCA